rnacentral:misc_RNA from 1 species
UGCACAUUUUGAAUGAAGUUGCUACUUAAUUGGGGUAAUAAUGUUGUUGGGUCACUGACUUCGUCAAGUUGGGCAACUUGAUUAGAUUUYUGAAGCAUUGUAUYUGUUGUUGUUACGAUUGCAAGUCCUAAUUUUUUUUUGAAAAAAAUACUGAUUGGAAGAGAGGAUUUUUGCUUGAUUG